GUCUACAUCCAUGCCACCCUGAACAAGCUAGAUCUCAUCUGAUCUCGGAAGCUAAGCAGGGUUGAGCUUGGUUAGUACUUGGAUGGGAGAACACCUAGGAAGAUCAGGUGCUGUAGGUG
rnacentral:rRNA from 1 species